UCGAGAAUCUUCCGCAAUGGGCGCAAGCCUGACGGAGCGACGCCGCGUGCGGGAUGAAGGCCUUCGGGUUGUAAACCGCUGUCAGUGGGGUGGAAAUGCAUGAGGGUUCUCUCUCAUGUUUGACCUAACCGCAGAGGAAGUCCGGGCUAAGUACGUGCCAGCAGCCGCGGUAAUACGUACCGGACGAACGUUAUUCGGAAUUACUGGGCUUAAAGAGUGCGUAGGCGGCCUGGUAGGUGGGGUGUGAAAUCCACGGCUCAACCGUGGAAUGGCGCUCCAAACCACUAGGCUUGAGGGAGACAGGGGUGAGCGGAACUGAUGGUGGAGCGGUGAAAUGCGUUGAUAUCAUCAGGAACACCGGUGGCGAAGGCGGCUCACUGGGUCUUAUCUGACGCUGAGGCACGAAAGCUAGGGGAGCGAACGGGAUUAGAUACCCCGGUAGUCCUAGCUGUAAACGAUGAGCACUAGAUCGGA
rnacentral:rRNA from 1 species